UGGAAUACUGCAUAGUAGCCUAGUCAAGCAGGCAACCUUGAUUAGGGGGAGGGACGAGCUGAUUGCUUGUUAGACUGAGGCUAUUUAAGUCAGCCUGGUUCCUCCACUUGCAGGACAUUUUCCCUCUAUGGCAUGCUAGCGCAAACGCUUUCACAGAGGUGAAUGGCGGUCCCACUCGGUGUGCAUCUACUGGCAUUAGAGAUCACUGAAUUCGCUAUGACUCCCUGGCGGCCUCCACAUUUCCGCAUUCGGUAUGGGUAGAUAUUGACGGCGCAGGUAAUAUCUGCUUCAUAAGGAUUGCAGUGAUUUAGUGUUGCCUAAUUGUAAUGUUGAACUGCCUUGCCCCAUGUCAAGCUUAUCUGGGUGCCUCUGUGUUUUAGGGGUGCCAUCAGCUGGUUGCUGUUUUGCCCGGGUGUAAUUGUGUGUAAUUGUUUGCUUUUGUCUGCGUUGGAUUCCUCCCUCGUGAGGCUGUGAUUGUAACCCAACUGUAGCGCAUGUAUGUACGUACUGUUUGUGAGCGGGUCAACUGGUAGCGUAGUCUCUUUUUAAAUGUGUAGAUACUGUUUCCUAGUUUGUGAUACUAAGGCCUCCUGGCGUGGCGCGCUGUCUGGUGGUGGGGGUGUUCUUGUAGCUAGCCCUCCUCUUCACUGUGUGUGUGCAUUAGUGUGUAGUCGCACCUUACUCUUUGAUCUCCACAUUUUCUAGACUUGCAGUGUAGCGCAUGGCGUGAUCGUACCCACGAAACACCUGAGUGAUUGCAUGUGUUGCGAGGUUCCCUAGUGCUGCUUCCAGACUACUUUUAUUCCAAAUUAAUAAAUG